AAGCCAGAGCUCGACAGCUGCUGCUGCUGCUGCGGCGGCUGGGUACGAUUUUUUGGGGUUGAAAAGCGGUGCCGUUUUGGACUACAGAAGCUUGGAGAUGAAAUAGUGAAUAAUUAGUAGUAGUUAAAAAUUCAAUUUGUACCCCACCCACGGUUAAAAAUGGAGAAAGAGAGAGGAAUUGGCCAUUGGGUGGUGAGCCCUGGGAAAAUUAGAUUGACCUUAAAAGUAAAAAAAAAAUAGUUUCUUUCUUUCUAUUU
rnacentral:lncRNA from 1 species